ensembl:lncRNA
CAGGAGGAUGGUGCUGUCCUCUCGCAACUCGCAAAGGCACCGUGAGAGACCCAAGGCCCAGAUUCCCGAGUCCCAUCCACUACAGUCCUGGGAUGCAGACAAACUGUCCCAGACAUUCGCGGGCUAGCUAGAGUUUCGAUUCUCUGAAAGCCUUGUGUGCGUCAACUCUGAAGGUGAAACGAGAUCCAGUUGUCCUUUGAGAUAGGGAGGGAGAACCCGAGUUCCAGAAAGACUGUUGCAUUAACUUUGUCUGGGGAGAUAUAUACCCCAAGUAGGAAGGCACCCAAACAGAUCAAAGAUUCUACUCAACUCUCCCUCCAUGAAUCUAUGUCUCAUCUCCUGCCAGUCUGUGGCCACCACCCUGCUUCAGCCUGCUUCAACUUCUAGACCAUUCUCCUCACACCUGCUCAUCAAUGCUGAAGGAACAUCUUUCCCCACCCCCUUCUAUUCUUGCUCCUUUUCCCCCUUGUUCAUCUAUUUGCUGCAGUGACUAGAACCCGGGACCUCUGCAUGCAGGACACGCUGCUGUUCCGCUGAGAUGAUCUGCUUGCAGAGAACAGGAAGUGCGAGAGUCUUCCGGGUUCAGGUCCACACCUGCACAAUGUGACCUCAGCGUCAUCCUCCUCGGCCGCUGUCGAUUGCCUAACUUCUCCACUAUCUCCCCCGCCCCCAAACGUCCAGUUGAGACCAAAGUUCUAGGCUUUUUCUCCCAUGUGGUUCUCCCUGGUGGGAACAAUGCUCUUCUACUCAACCCCAAGGAACUUCUCCCAUUCCAAGGCUCAGGUCAAACAUCUCCAUAGCAUCUUCUCCACACACCUUCCCUUCUUCCUCUGGGCCUGCUUGACUGGAGGCUACCCACACGAUUCUCAUGCUGCUGACAGAACCCAGGGCCUCAAAGACUCUAGGCAGGAGCUCUAUCACUGAGAUACAUGUCCAGACCGGCUCACAGUGUGUUCUGUGGUGAGAUAAGCCAAUAUACUCACCUGAGUCUGUCCCCUUGACAAGCACGAGCAAGGCACCUGGCUAGAGUGAAGGCUCAGAGACUGGGCUGAGAAGCAGGGACUAUUUUGAUGCUUUGGUGUCUGCAUCCACAUAAUGGGGAUUAGAGAGACUAGCCAAGCUGGGUUGUCAUGGCUCAGCCCAGGUGCCCUCUGAGAACUUUUAGCCCCGUGUCCCAUUUUCCCUCUUGUUUUGUCCUGACUAUUCUUGGAAGCAGAAGAGGGCAUCAUCAACUUCACCUUGCACAAAAGGAAGUUCAGAUGGUGUCCGGGGUCACAGAGGGCCACUUAGUUCUCUGGAAUCCAUCCCUGGGCAUCCUGCUCCUCCUCUGCCCAACACAUGGCAAAUACCUCUGAGCCCCGCCAUCAUGCUUGCUAAGUGAGUGACAGUGACUCAUCAGGUGGCAUGGCUGCCCUCGGUUUGAGUGCAACUUCCUGGUGUUUGUUUAUUUGGUCCGAAUACCGAACUAUAAUUGCUGCUGCUUCACUUCCUCUGGCUUUACUUCCCCCCUGUCAGCCACUGCCCUUCCCUCGUACAACAAGGGUGGGACAAACAGGGCUGGUUCUGACUGCAACUCUUGGGUUUUAGCUUUUGUGUUUUGGGGAAGACAGGGUCUCCUCUCCUGCACUCCAGAAUCAUACUAUCCUGCUCUUGUCACCAGAACCCACCUUGCUUUGAUUAUGGCUGUUUAAUCACCUCCAGGCAAAUUAAGCCAAAUUGGGGGGUGUAAUACUACUAACUCAUUAAAAUGGAUGAGACAGUCACAAGAUGGAUGACUUCAAGUUCGACUCUGACAACACAUCCAGAUACACCCUAAGGGCAAGCAAGUAAGAUUUUUCAAUCAUG